rnacentral:rRNA from 1 species
CCUACGGGGGGCAGCAGUGAGGAAUAUUGGUCGAUGGACGAGAGUCUGAACCAGCCAAGUAGCGUGAAGGAUGACUGCCCUAUGGGUUGUAAACUUCUUUUAUAUGGGAAUAAAAUGUUCCACGUGUGGGAUUUUGUAUGUACCAUAUGAAUAAGGAUCGGCUAACUCCGUGCCAGCAGCCGCGGUAAUACGGAGGAUCCGAGCGUUAUCCGGAUUUAUUGGGUUUAAAGGGAGCGUAGGUGGAUUGUUAAGUCAGUUGUGAAAGUUUGCGGCUCAACCGUAAAAUUGCAGUUGAAACUGGCAGUCUUGAGUACAGUAGAGGUGGGCGGAAGUCGUGGUGUAGCGGUGAAAUGCUUAGAUAUCACGAAGAACUCCGAUUGCGAAGGCAGUUCACUGGACUGCAACUGACACUGAGGCUCGAAAGUGUGGGUAUCAAACAGGAUUAGAUACCCGUGUAGUC